rnacentral:rRNA from 1 species
UACAGAGGUCCCAAGCGUUGUUCGGAUUCAUUGGGCGUAAAGAGUGUGUAGGCGGUGCUCCAAGUCUGGUGUGAAAUCUCCCGGCUUAACUGGGAGGGUGCAUUAGAAACUGGAAUGCUAGAGGAUGGGAGAGGUAAGCGGAAUUCCUGGUGUAGCGGUGAAAUGCGUAGAUAUCAGGAGGAACACCUGUGGUGUAGACAGCUUACUGGACCAUUUCUGACGCUGAGACACGAAAGCGUGGGUAGCAAACAGG